GUUGAACGCUGGCGGCAUGCCUUACACAUGCAAGUCGAACGGUAACAGGUCUUCGGAUGCUGACGAGUGGCGAACGGGUGAGUAAUACAUCGGAACGUGCCCGAUCGUGGGGGAUAACGGAGCGAAAGCUUUGCUAAUACCGCAUACGAUCUACGGACGAAAGCAGGGGACCGCAAGGCCUUGCGCGGACGGAGCGGCCGAUGGCAGAUUAGGUAGUUGGUGGGAUAAAAGCUUACCAAGCCGACGAUCUGUAGCUGGUCUGAGAGGACGACCAGCCACACUGGGACUGAGACACGGCCCAGACUCCUACGGGAGGCAGCAGUGGGGAAUUUUGGACAAUGGGCGAAAGCCUGAUCCAGCCAUGCCGCGUGCAGGAUGAAGGCCUUCGGGUUGUAAACUGCUUUUGUACGGAACGAAAAGCCUCUUUCUAAUAAAGAGAGGUCAUGACGGUACCGUAAGAAUAAGCACCGGCUAACUACGUGCCAGCCGCCGCCGUAAAAC
rnacentral:rRNA from 1 species